rnacentral:lncRNA from 1 species
GUCGGUUUAGUCAUCUUUUUGACACAUUUACAGAACAGCCACCUCUGUGCCACAAUGCUACUGGGACGCAGAGGUGAAGAGGUGCCACCACCGUCAAGAGGCCUUGGAGAAAGACCAUGGCACAUUAAAGAUAGUGUAGCUGAGGUUCAGGGAAGUAAAACAUCAAGGUCUGAUGACAACCAAGUAUUUCCGAAGUCCAAAAGACCAUACAAGGUCGGGCAUGGUGGCUCACACCUGCAAUCCCAGUACUUUGGGAGGCGGAGGGAGGCGGAUCACUGGAAGCCAGGAAUUCAAUACCAGCCUGGCUGACAUGGUGAAAUCCUAUCUCUACUAAAAAUACAAAAAUUAGCUGGGCAUAGUGGUGCACGCCUGUAGUCCCAGCUACUGAGGAGGCUGAGGCAGGAGAAUUGUUUGAACCUGGGAGGUGGAGGUUGCAGUGAGCCAAGAUCGCACCACUGCACUCACUGCACUCACUCCAGCCCGGGCGACAGAGCGAGACUGUCUCUCAAAAAAAAAAAAAAAAAAAAAAAAAAAAAAAAAAAACACAACAAGAAUUAUUUCCCAGAUUGUUCACUGUUGACAUAUAGAAAUGCUACUGAUUUUUGUAUGCUGAUUUUGUAUCCUGCAACUUUACUGAAUUUAUCAGUUGUAAUAGUUGUUGUUUUUUUUUUUUUUUGGUGAAGUCUUUAGGUUUUUCCAAAUAUGAGAUCAUAUCAUGAGCAAACAAGGAUAAUUUGACUUCCUGGGAGGAGGGAUAAUUAACGGGCACCUUAAAUCUCUAAAACCUUGGUAAAGUGCUUUGUUUUAUAAAAUAGAUAAUAGUUAGAAUUUUGUGUUUUGUCUAUGGAUGUCUACACAUUAUUUUAGACCCUGGAAAUACAGGUGCCACAGCUGACAUUUUAUUUGCUAAAUUUCAACAAUAACCAUCAUCAAACAGUGAAAAAUGAACAGGAAUAAAUAGCAUGGGAACAUUAAGUGGCCAAAGGGUAUGAGAAAAAUGUUAGGAAAUUCUUGUUAUCUGUGCAAUUAGAAACAAAAUAAACCAAAGAAUUGAAUUAAUGACAAGAAGUGAUAUAUAUUGAACUAAAAUAUGUUAGCAUCUAGUCAUUUCUAUUUCUAAAAUAUCAUAGUAAAGGGAAGAAAAGCCAUUGUAUUCAACUGCUCAGAAAUCUGACUGUGAGUACUCCAGCAUCUACCUACCUUUGACUAUGGACUUCUGAAGACUAUAGUACUAGCACUAGCAGGGAACAACAUUCAAAGAACCUUGGACUGGGCAACCAGCCUUGCGAUUAAAUGCUUCUUGCUCAAUGUUCAUCUAAUACCUUUGGGUUCCAAGAUCUCAACACAUUCUUAGCAUUUGGUCUCAGCAAAAGAUCAGAUAAUCAUUUGCUUCUCAGCGUAGAUUUCAGUUAGUGGGUUUGAUUUCCUCAUCUAGUACUAUUUGCCUCUUAAAUCAAAUGUCCAAAAAGAAAUAAGGACAGGGCAAAAGGCAAUAUGCAAAAGGCACCAGAAGCUACUAUGCGGGGGUUUCCUUUUUGCUGUAGUCUCAGAAAUGGCAGGGAGGGGUCAGAAGUUUUUGCCCUAUUAGGAAGUAAGGCAGAAUUCCCCACAGUGAUGUCACAGACAAGACUUAGUUAAGGAGGGGCUAGAAAGUAAUAAAAGAAUGGAAUGAUAUGUUUUCUCCCCUGACAACCCACACCGUUCUCUUAGAGGCAGGGAAAAGAGAAAGAAGGUGGAAGUUGGAGAAAGAAUGGUAGAGUAUUAGGCAAAGAAAAUAAAAGUCUUCCCUCAUAGAAGAAGAAAGCAUCAUUCUAGUAACUCCCCAUCCCUACCCUAUCUCAAGUGCAGCUAAUGGUGAGAAGUAGAAAAUGUUUUGUCAAUAAAUGAAUCACAAAUGAGUUCCUCUCUAUAUUCCGUAAGACACAUUCUGUGUAGAUCCUGUAAUUAAGGAGUUCCAAACUUAGCUAAGAAGCCAUGUACAUUUUUAAAAUAUAAAGCAGCACAAAUACAGCAUUAAGUCAGAAGUAAUAUUAGGAGUUUAGAGGCAUGAACAACUGCUGUAGCUCAGAGUGGUUUGAGAAAGCUUUGUAAGCAAAAGACCCGAGGCCAGGCCAGGUCAGUAUGAAGGCCUGGACUACAUUAUCCUUCCUAGUUCAUCUUCUUUCUUUGGCUCAGUCAGCAAGGAACUUCUAAACAUAUAAAAACAAUACACCAUCAAAUGUCUUACAAAAGUACUCCAUAAAGUAUAAAAUGUUAAGUAUGUUACCUGACUCUUCAGGAGAGCAGGAUGAAGUGAAUUAUCUGUUACCAUCACCAUCAUAAGAGCAUUGAAUGUUCAAUGUUCAAUUCAAUGCCAGACACUGCACUGUUGGCUGGAUAACAUAAUGCCUAUUCAUAAUCCCUUUUCCUUGUUUGUCCUUAAUUAGAGAGUCUAGGCAAACAGAAUGUUUACUUUCCUGGUAACUGGAGGUAUCCACAUGUCACAGUUCUGAAUAAUAAGACAUAAGUAGAAAUCUUUUGGAGGUUCCUGGGAAAGCUUUUGCUUCUCUUGCUACCAUGAGGCUGAAAGCCCACACACUAGAUGGCUGGCUGGGAAGACAGAAGAAGCAUGCUUGAUUGCAACACUGACUGUCUACACCAAAGGCAGGAACUGCUUAUUCUAGACUUCUUGUAAUGUGAGAAAAAUCAACUAUUUAACACACUAUGCGCUUUCUCUUACAUAAACUGAAAAUAUUCCUGAGAUAAAUGCUUACCAUGUGCGUGGCCAAGGUUAUAAAGUAGGUAGGUGACAAAAACAGAAUUCAAUCCCAUUUCUGACAGACCCAAAGCCCUGACCUUAACCAAUACACUAACAAGGAUACACACAGUGUCAAAAAAACCAGAUAUCUUAAUGACCAGUACUGUGGUUGUUCUGGUUUGAAGGACCAGUCAUCCCAUGAUUGUCACAGCCAUUCUCCUCAUAAAACUUUACAUUCUGGGAACACCUUAAUAAUAUGCUCCAAAAACAAUGACUCCAAAUUUCACUGGGUUUUAGACUAAGGGCAACGAGACUGAAUUUACUGAUUCAUACAUACUGGUCAUCUUCUCCUGAUUCCCUGUACACCCCCACAUUUUUUUUUUUGAGACAGAAUCUCACUCCGUUGCCCAGGCUGGAGUGCAGUGGCGUCAUCUCAGCUCACUACAACCUCCGCCUCCCAGGUUCAAGCAAUUUUUGUGCGUCAACCUCCCGAGUAACUGGGAUUAUAGGCAUGUGUCACCACACCCAGCUAAUUUUUUUUUUAUUUUUAGUAGAGAUAGGGAUUUGCCAUGUUGGCCAGGCUGGUCUUGAACUCCUGGCCUCAACUGAUCUACCUGUCUCGGCCUCCCAAAGUGCUGAGAUUACAGGCAUGAGCCACUGUGACAGGCCCUGAUUCCUUUCAUGACAAAUCUAUGACACUCUUCUUUCAUUUUGAAUUUCUUUCACACUUGAAAUCCAGAAAAAUAUAACAUUUGCCUAGCCAAACUUGCCCUGUUCUCUUUUCUUUUUUUGCACCCAUUUGGGGUUUCAAGAUGGUCACAAGUCAGUCCUGCCCUUGUUUUUCAUACAAUAGACAAGUGUCAUUUCAACAGACUAAGCAUCUGAUAACACUUAAAAAAUAAAUAGCAGACUAUAUCUGGAGAGCCGCUUAUGCCCUACAAUACAACAAAUUGGAAGAUCAUUCAGUAAUAUUUCAAAGCCCCACACAACACUGAGCUGAUGGUGGCAGUGAUCAACUGUUGACAGCUGUUAAGGUUCUCAUGAAAUGCACUCCUCAUCUGUGGUUAUGACUGGCCAUUACAUAGGAGGAUUAAUGGGGCUGCUUUUGACUGUCAUGGAAAGUGUAAGAUAUGUUCUUUAUGUAGAUCCCUAAGAGCAAACAUCCCCUCUACAGAGCUGAUAGGUCACCUGCCUCAACCAAUUAGCUAAUUGUCUGAAAUCACUCCUCAUAGAUCACGGAAAACUGACUUGUGAAUAAACUCUGUUCAUACAGAAAGCAAGAGCCUUUUGUUUCCUUUUGAAGACCUUAUUCAACUCUAAGGCCCCUUCCAACCACAAAAUUCUAAAUUCUACAAAUGUGAACAAUCAGCUCCAAUGAAUGAAUCCUUCCAGCUUUAUGGCAAAUGAGUGCUUUUUUGACUACGGGUUGUUUUUCUUUUUAAAGAGAAAAUUGUUUUUUAAAUGUAGCUUCCUGACUGCACCAGGUGUGAAAUGGUAAAUAAAAGAACAAGCAGUUGUGUUGACCAUCUUUGGUUGUUUCCUUCAAAGCUUACCAGACUGAUGUCAUUCUGGAUGUUUUCUAUUCUGCUUACCAAGCUCGGUUUUCCUAGAAAAAGUCUGUAGAAUGACUGCCCUAAUCCUAAUCAAAACAUACCAUCAUAUUCUAAAAGCUCAGGGCUAUCUGGGAGAUUGGUAGCUAGCUCUCACUGAAUAAAGAGGAGUGAGUAGCCCCUUUUUCGUGGAUAAUUCUAGGAACUGGCAAGACAGUCUUUCUCUUUGGCCUCCUGGAUGAACAAAGAUGGGCUGAGAAUCAAUGAUGUUGCCCUAAGUGACAAGAUGCCUUUAUUCACACUGUGCAUACACCCUCUCAUGGACCCUUAUUUUUCUGCUCCCAAAUAUAGUAUUUUGUUCAGAUUUCUACCCUUUCCUGUGUCAUUCCUCCUAUCACUUUGAAAUCUUUCUUCAAAAGUCUAAAAUUCCACAAAUGAAGAUGAACAAAGGGAAAGCUUAUAUCUGUCUCAUCUGGGAACCCUGGAAAAGCUACACUGCUUAUGUGAAGAGGAAAAAAAAAAAAAAAAGAUGGGCAGGAGUUUAGUAAGACUGGGGGAAGAGAGAAAAGGAAACUCCCCAGGAAAGGAAGAAAACAAAGUAUUUACCACGUGACAGAUACCACCAUGAUAAGUACUUACACAUAAAUUCUCAUCUGUACCUCACAACCUCACAACAGAUGACCCUAGGAAAGGGUGUAUCUCUCAAAGCCUUUAACCAGUUUAAGAAAUUUGCCCAAGGUAAAUCUAGGUCUCAAACCCAGAUCUGGCUCAAAAUCAUCUCUUUCCUCAUCACAAUGGUGAUCAGCCGCAUGGAAGCAGGAAGGGAUAAGCCUCAUUUAAGGAACAGUAAACCUCCCUCCCACCUCCCUACUACCAUGCCCAAGAUAUUUUUCAUCUUCAGCAACAUUCAAAGAUGCUCUUUCUUGAUGCCUAUAAAAUGAAGUCAAGUUCAUGUGCCUGGCAUUAAAGGUGACUCCAGUUCAGCUAGAAGCUCCUGAUUAUAUCUACUAUCUUACUUUACCCUGUACCCCAUGACUUUAUUCUUGAGUCUAUGGUUUCACAUCUCUCAUCCAAUAAAGGAAGCACAUGCUUUUAUUGGAUAUAUUCAUUUAUUCAUUCAACAUUUAUUGAAUGCCUAUUAUGUGUCAUUUCUUCAAUACACUUUUAUUGAGCAAUUGCUAUGCUCUAGGCAUAUUGGUAAUAUUGGUAAAUGGUAAAUAUCGGAGAAUGACAACGAGAUAUAUUUAGGGAAUAAGUAUAGAAUACUAAAUGCUGGUGUGACAGGAGAUACCAAUGUAAUCCUCUUGAAUAAUCAUUGCCUUUAGAUGUGCUGAGCUGAAUCACUAGUAGACCCUGGGAUUAAGGCUUAGGUAUAGUUUAAGUUCAAUUCAAAUAUGUCAUCAAAUUGAGAUGAUGAAAGAAGCAACCAUAAUGAUCCUGCACUAGGGUCAUCAGCUCCAGGACUGCCAAUGGUUUCUUAAAAGAUAUCAUUUAAUGCCUAUCCUCACGAAUCUCAUCAAGUAGUCAACAAUUUCACUUUGGUUACACCUAAUGUCACUCUUGGGGUCUUGUUUAAAUGGUGACUCCUAAAGAACAAAUAUUCAGAACCUGCUAGGUACUUGCCCGCCAUACUCUUUGUUUCCCAAAACUCAC